UACAUAUAUACCAGAAGCACUGGAUUUGGACCAUUUUUCAUAUAUUGAUCACAGAUGGACAAAUAUUAUUCAUAUAUACAAAAUAAUUAAUGAAUUAACUAGGUAGAAAAUUGUUCAUACAAUGUAGCUAAACUAUGAAUCUUCUACAAAAUCAAUAAUUCUAAGGCCGUCCGUUGUCCAAUUAUAUAUUAUUGCCUAGAUCAUCAUUGUUUUGUGGGGAAACAUGUGGAGGAGGAGAAGCAUCUGGAGCUGGAGGAGGAAACUGUGGAGGAGGAGGAGGUGGCAUACCUAGGUGCUCAUAUAAGGCUGCAACUUGGGACUGCACAGCACUAUACAUAGACUCAGCACGCAGGGCACGCUGCUGGACCUCUUGGAAUUGCUGUUGGGCACGCUACUGGACCUCUGUUAACUGUUGCUAGGCACGAUCCUCUGAUUCCUUUAAACUCUGCUCAUAGCGCUGCUGCACCUCUUGGAGUUGUUGCUCAUCAACUCUAGGAGGACGACUACGUGAAGUGGAACCAUUUGAAGAAUGGGUCAAGUCUCGCUCGCCUUCUCAUCCCAUCCCUCUGAUCUCCUUUCCUUUGCGAGUUUUGAGCACCGUACCCAACACCUCAAUUUGUUGGGACCGAACACUUUCCAUAAUUUGCUCCUCCGUCGCGUCAGGGUGUUGUUCCUUAAAUGCAUCAUUUCGUUUAUUGACCUCAUCAACCAUGUCAUUCUGCAUGCAUUUAAAAAAUAUCAAUAAAGUUUCCAUAAUAAAGUUUACUGGUUGCAUAAUAAACAGAGAAGCUACUAGGGGUCAGCAAACAUGUAAUUCAUUAUCUCCCUUUCAGUUUCAUGGCCACAACACACAACAAAUACCCUAAUAAACAACUUUAUUGCUCCUUAGAAAACCCAGUAGAAGUUUACUGCCCCCCAGUAAACUUCUACUAGGGGUCAGUAAACUUGCAAUUUAUUAUCUCCCUUUCAUGGCCACAACACACAACAAAUACCCUAAUAAACAACUUUAUUACUCCCUAGUAAACCCAGUAGAAGUUUACUGCCCCC
rnacentral:lncRNA from 1 species